rnacentral:piRNA from 2 species
UGUUUGAAAGUGCAAGGUGUC